AAGUCGAACGAUGAACCCCCUUCGGGUGGGGAUUAGUGGCGAACGGGUGAGUAACACGUGGGCAAUCUGCCCUGCACUCUGGGACAAGCCCUGGAAACGGGGUCUAAUACCGGAUACUGACCUGCCGAGGCAUCUCGGCGGGUCGAAAGCUCCGGCGGUGCAGGAUGAGCCCGCGGCCUAUCAGCUUGUUGGUGAGGUAAUGGCUCACCAAGGCGACGACGGGUAGCCGGCCUGAGAGGGCGACCGGCCACACUGGGACUGAGACACGGCCCAAGCUCCUACGGGAGGCAGCAGUGGGGAAUAUUGCACAAUGGGCGCAAGCCUGAUGCAGCGACGCCGCGUGAGGGAUGACGGCCUUCGGGUUGUAAACCUCUUUCAGCAGGGAAGAAGCGAGAGUGACGGUACCUGCAGAAGAAGCGCCGGCUAACUACGUGCCAGCAGCCGCGGUAAUACGUAGGGCGCAAGCGUUGUCCGGAAUUAUUGGGCGUAAAGAGCUCGUAGGCGGCUUGUCGCGUCGGUUGUGAAAGCCCGGGGCUUAACCCCGGGUCUGCAGUCGAUACGGGCAGGCUAGAGUUCGGUAGGGGAGAUCGGAAUUCCUGGUGUAGCGGUGAAAUGCGCAGAUAUCAGGAGGAACACCGGUGGCGAAGGCGGAUCUCUGGGCCGAUACUGACGCUGAGGAGCGAAAGCGUGGGGAGCGAACAGGAUUAGAUACCCUGGUAGUCCACGCCGUAAACGGUGGGCACUAGGUGUGGGCAACAUUCCACGUUGUCCGUGCCGCAGCUAACGCAUUAAGUGCCCCGCCUGGGGAGUACGGCCGCAAGGCUAAAACUCAAAGGAAUUGACGGGGGCCCGCACAAGCGGCGGAGCAUGUGGCUUAAUUCGACGCAACGCGAAGAACCUUACCAAGGCUUGACAUACACCGGAAAGCAUCAGAGAUGGUGCCCCCCUUGUGGUCGGUGUACAGGUGGUGCAUGGCUGUCGUCAGCUCGUGUCGUGAGAUGUUGGGUUAAGUCCCGCAACGAGCGCAACCCUUGUCCCGUGUUGCCAGCAACUCUUCGGAGGUUGGGGACUCACGGGAGACCGCCGGGGUCAACUCGGAGGAAGGUGGGGACGACGUCAAGUCAUCAUGCCCCUUAUGUCUUGGGCUGCACACGUGCUACAAUGGCCGGUACAAUGAGCUGCGAUACCGCAAGGUGGAGCGAAUCUCAAAAAGCCGGUCUCAGUUCGGAUUGGGGUCUGCAACUCGACCCCAUGAAGUCGGAGUCGCUAGUAAUCGCAGAUCAGCAUUGCUGCGGUGAAUACGUUCCCGGGCCUUGUACACACCGCCCGUCACGUCACGAAAGUCGGUAACACCCGAAGCCGGUGGCCCAACCCCUUGUGGGAGGGAGC
rnacentral:rRNA from 1 species